AUUCCAGCUCCAAUAGCGUAUACUAAAGUUGUUGCAGUUAAAAAGCUCGUAGUUGAAUUUCUGGUCGUGAAAAGUGGUCCAUUCCGCAAGGAAUGUGUACUGUCUAUUCAUGUCCAUCCUCGGAGUUAGUGUGUAUUACUUUAAUCGGUCGUGCAUGCAAUACUUCGUCAUUUACUGUGAGCAAAAUAGAGUGUUCAAAGCAGGCUUAUGCCGUUGAAUAUAUUAGCAUGGAAUAAUAAGAUAUGACUUUGGUCUAUUUUGUUGGUUUGCACUCCAAAGUAAUGAUUAAUAGGGAUAGUUGGGGGUAUUCGUAUUCAAUUGUCAGAGGUGAAAUUCUUGGAUUUAUGGAAGACGAACUACUGCGAAAGCAUUUACCAAGGAUGUUUUCAUUG
rnacentral:rRNA from 1 species